rnacentral:RNase_P_RNA from 1 species
CGAGUUGGCUAGGCAACCGCGUGCAGUGAUCACGAUAAGUGAAAAUACUGCCCGAGGAACGUCCGGGCUCCGCAGGGAACAGUGGUGGGUAACACCCACUCGGGGUGACCCGCAGGAAAGUGCCACAGAAAACAAACCGCCAUCAUAUUUUGCAUUAGCAAAAGCAGUGUAUGGUAAGGGUGAAAAGGCGAGGUAAGAGCUCACCGCGUUUCCGGUGACGGAAACGGCAUGGUAAACCCCACUGGGAGCAAGGCCAAGCAGCACACCUUGAGGCGUCCCGUUGAGUGUGCGGGUAGGCUGCUAGAGUCUCACAGUAAUGUGAGUGCGUAGAUGGAUGGUUGCCACGGGUUGCCGGCGUUAUCUGCCAGCAACCCGGACAGAACCCGGCGUAUCGGCCAACUCGUUCG